rnacentral:snRNA from 1 species
AUACUGCUCAUCUGCUUGGGGCUGUGAUCUAGUGCAGAUCUCUUCUCAUAAGUUUAUCAGCUUAUAUGUUACUAUUGUGAGCAAGAACGUUACGACCAUAUUUCAAUGGCGGGUCGGUGGCUUGGGUCUCUGAUCAUGCUCCGACUCGACUGUCGCCUUGGCCAUGCACGAAUUGCUGAGUGUGGCGGACCGGGG